UACGAAGGGGCUAGCGUUGUUCGGAUUUACUGGGCGUAAAGCGCACGUAGGCGGAUCGUUAAGUCAGGGGUGAAAUCCUGGAGCUCAACUCCAGAACUGCCUUUGAUACUGGCGAUCUUGAGUCCGGAAGAGGUGAGUGGAACUCCUAGUGUAGAGGUGGAAUUCGUAGAUAUUAGGAAGAACACCAGUGGCGAAGGCGGCUCACUGGUCCGGUACUGACGCUGAGGUGCGAAAGCGUGGGAGCAAACAGGG
rnacentral:rRNA from 1 species